rnacentral:lncRNA from 1 species
CCCUGGCGGCCUCAGCCGGCAUCGAAUCACCGCGGUUCCCAGAGGGCGUGAGGGGCUGGCGUGGACACACCGGGAAUGGACCGUACCCUUUUUCAAAAGGAACUCAUGAUGUAUACAAAGCUGGCAUCUCGCUUUGUUACCCUUACCCAGGCUGGUCUUGAACUCCUGACUUUGAAGGAUCCUCCCACCUCAGCCUCCCAAAGUGCUAGGAUUACAG